ACGUGAACUGUGACGGAGACAGGCCUUCUUGUGCUGAGAGGUAGUGCCGGGCAUACUCGAGAUGGUUCUCGCUGGAGUCGCUCACGACAACAUGCGAGAACUUGCGGGCGAGCUGGACUGAUACCUGGCCUGGCCCGGCGCCU
rnacentral:snoRNA from 1 species